GAGUCUCAUUCUGCGAAUGUUAUUCUGAUUGUAGAGAUCUAUAACUUCUUCUGCUGGUGGCAGGUCAUUGCCAUUCAUUCCAUAGCAAACACCUAUCUGAGCACCUGUUGCAUCAAUGCUAGCCAACAGCAAUCCAACAAAUAGAGUUAUGGAGAGUUUGGAAGAGCAUUUGCCAAUUAAAUAGGAACUUGCCAUCUGUAGAGAAGCUAUAGAGAAUAAAC
rnacentral:misc_RNA from 1 species